ACUGAAAAAUCUCUAAAAAAAAAAAGAAAAGAAAACAGUUGAACAUGAAUCUAAAAGCAUUUAUAAAUAUUUGAAGUCAGCGUUAGAACAACCAUAAAAACGUAAAGGGAAGGCCCUGAACCAAAUCUGGACUAAGUCUUUGCUGUGCAUCUUAUCUCCCAGGGUGUUGAAGGAAGACAGGGAGUCAAAGCAGAGAUGGGGCUGUACAUAGCACAUAUGAGUUAUGGGAAGUGCAUGAACUGAAUGUUAGUGACCCCCAAAAUUCAUGUUGAAUCACUAAAACCUCAAAGUGAUGGUAGUUGGAGCUGGGACCUUUGAGAGGUAAUUGGGUUUGGAUGAGAUCAUGAGGGUGUUGCCCUCAUGAUAGGAUUAGUGUCCUUAUAAAAAGGGAAAGUCUGUUAUAAGAUUAACAAGGUCUGAGGAUCUUAUGUGUAACCUGGUGACUACAGUUGAUAACACUGCAUGGUAUAACUGAAAUUUGCUAAGAGAAUAGAACUUAAGUGUUCUCAC